rnacentral:lncRNA from 1 species
UCCCCACGCGCGGGGGCGCCCUGACAGUCCCCUGCUGCUCCUCUGCUGGGCGCCACAACUUUCCCCAACCCGUGCCAACUUCCAGGGCACAGCCUCUGCGGAGAGUAGCAGGGUACAGUGAAUAACCCAGACACUAAAAAGCAAAGCAGCGGGGGUCCUACCAGCGCGGCUUUUGAUGACGUCGGUGAAUCCGUCCUCAGCGGCAUUUUCUGGGGUCUCCUGCAGACCCCUCAGCUGUGCCAUAACCAAACGCCACGUGCCUCAGCUUCCUCACGCCCCAAACUUUGGAAGGCAGUCACAUGGAAUCUACACAUGGAAGGACAUAGGCAUUGCAUGCAGGUAUCCGGAAUCAUUGAUAUUGGUCUUAAAAUUUGGAA